AAGUCGUAACAAGGUUUCCGUAGGUGAACCUGCGGAAGGAUCAUUAUCACUUUUCCAAAGUUAUCAACCAUUGUGAACUAGUAUUGACCUUUGAAUUGGGAAGGUAGUGUUGUGUUAAACCGUUAUCAAACAACAAAAUAAAUGAUUGGAAGUUGUUGAGGUUUAAACGCGAUCAAACAAGUAAAAUUGUUUACUUCCUGAUUUAAAGUGUAUUUUUUUUUUUCCAAUCAAUUUCUUAUUAACCAUUUAAACCAAAAUUUUUCUAAAUUUUGAACUGAUUUAAUUUCUUACUCUUCUUUAUUGGAGAGAAGAAAUAAAUGAUUACGAAACAUAAGAACAACUCUUAGCAACGGAUAUCUUGGUUCUC
rnacentral:misc_RNA from 1 species